rnacentral:rRNA from 1 species
GUGGGGAAUCUUAGACAAUGGGGGCAACCCUGAUCUAGCCAUGCCGCGUGAGUGAUGAAGGCCUUAGGGUCGUAAAGCUCUUUCGCCGGGGAAGAUAAUGACGGUACCCGGUAAAGAAACCCCGGCUAACUCCGUGCCAGCAGCCGCGGUAAUACGGAGGGGGUUAGCGUUGUUCGGAAUUACUGGGCGUAAAGCGCGCGUAGGCGGAUCGGAAAGUUGGGGGUGAAAUCCCGGGGCUCAACCCCGGAAUUGCCUUCAAAACUCCCGGUCUUGAGGUCGAGAGAGGUGAGUGGAAUUCCGAGUGUAGAGGUGAAAUUCGUAGAUAUUCGGAGGAACACCAGUGGCGAAGGCGGCUCACUGGCUCGAUACUGACGCUGAGGUGCGAAAGCGUGGGGAGCAAACAGGAUUAGAAACCCCGGUAGUCC